ensembl:lncRNA
AGGGUUAGAGAGGGUUAGAGAGGGGGAGGAGGGUUAGAGAGGGGUAGGAGGGUUAGAGAGGGGUUGGAGGGUUAGAGAGGGGUAAGGAGGGUUAGAGAGGGUAAGGAGGGUUAGAGAGGGGUAAGGAGGGUUAGAGAGGGGUUGGAGGGUUAGAGAGGGUAAGGAGGGUUAGAGAGGGGUAGGAGGGUACAAGGGUUAGAGAUGGGUCGAGAGGAUUAGAGAGGGUAAGGAGGGUUAGAGAGGGGUUGGAGGGUUAGAGAGGGGUUGGCGGGUUAGAGAGGGGUAGGAGGGUUAGAGAGGAGUAGGAGGGUUAGAGAGGGUUAGAGAUGGGGGUC